rnacentral:lncRNA from 1 species
CUUCCAAUUUCAAACUAGAGGCUCUAAAGAGCCUGUGUCGCUCACCUUGGUCUAUGUGAAUAUUAAAGGAAUCAGAUGGAUUCAUGACAAAAUUGAGUUUUGGUGAUGGUGAUGUGUUUGUACAUCUUACUUUACUGAACAUUCUUGCUGCUUACUAUUAUCUCUAUCUAUAAUGAACUUGGCCCAGUAGUUUCAGUUGAAAAUGUUAGUAAAAAUUUACAAAUUUUAUGAAAAUUGUUAAAAAUUGACUAUAAAGGACAAUACCUCCUUAGGGGGUCAAUUGACCAUUUUGGUCAUGUUGACUUAUCUUUAGGUCUUACUUUGCUGUACAUUAUUGCUGUUUACAGUUUAUCUUUAUCUAUAAUAAUAUUCAAUAUAAUAACAAAAAACGGCAAAAUUUCCUUAAAAUUACCAAUUCAGGGACAGCAACCCAACAAACAGUUGUCCAAUCCAUCUGAAAAUUUCAGGGCAGAUAGAUCUUGACCUGAUAAACAAUUUAAUCUGAUCAGAUUUGCUCUAAAUGCUUUGGUUUUUG